AGAAGAACGCACAAAGAAUUUCAGCUUGCUUUAGCCUCAUUUGCUUCUGGAAUUUCAAGUAUUGUUUCCUUUAAUUUUGAUAAUUUUUUUCUACUUCUCUCUUUCUGGUUUGAUAAUUUUAGGGUUAUAGUUGAAUUAUUUGUAUUUUUAAACAAUCUAGGGUAUAUUUAAUUGAUUCCAAGUGUCGUAUCUGUUAUGCUAUUUGAAUGCACAUUACUUGUUUGAUGAAAUGUCUCUUUAAAAUAUUAAUUUUGUUUUUAACAAGCAUCUUAUUGAGAUGUUUCUCGUAAUAAUAUUAACAUAAUGCACUUAGCUUCAAUUUGGUCUGUUUAAUGCAUUUUAACAAAGGAAAAUUACAGAACUGCAACAAUUCUCAAAUUUCUUGCUGAUUAGAAGUAAUGUUAUUGAUUUUUAUUAAUUAAUGAGAUUUUUAUUUACUGAGUCUGUAAACUCACUCUAAGAAGUGAAGUGAUUUUUGUUUCAAUUUGGUAUGUUUCAUACAUUUUCAUUCUCAUUAUAUAUGAUAGUCAUCUCUCAUUUUUUCAUCAAUCACUCAAUUUUAAAUUUCAUCUCCCUUCUCUCUCUCGAAGAACCCACGAAGAAGUUCAGCUUGCUUCAGCUUCAUUUGCUUCUUGAAUUUAAGGUGUUUUUUCUUUUAAUUUUGAUAAAUUUUUUUAAUUCUCUCUUUCUAGUUUGAUAAUUUUAGUGUUAUACUUAAUUAAUUGUAUUUUUAAUUAAUACUAAGUCUUAUAUCUGUUCUCUUUCAACAAACAAAGAACACACAAAUAAUUUUCACUUUCAUUCUCAAUUUUGAAAGAAUCAAUUUAUUUUAUUCAUAACAUCUGUUAGAUUCUUGACAAACAAUCACAGAGAUACAGUAGUAGAAACUAUAUUAGACACACUCUAGUUGCUUAAUUAGUAAAAUUGUGAUCUCAUUGCCUUAUUUUUUGGGGUUAAUUCUAUAAUUUUAUCAGUUGUUCUUGUGGUUGCAAACAAUAUCAUUUUUUAAUAUUAAUAAAACUAAAUGAAUAUUAUGUGAUGCAUUUGCAGGAAAGUUAAUAAUUUAAAUAUGGAUAAAUCUUAGAUGUUGAUGGAUAGAAGGUCUAUAGAAUAUGAAAAUGGGGUAAAUGAGUUUCUCAAGUUUGCAAUACUUCAUGCUAGUAAUCCUGAACUUUUAAGAUGUUCAUGCCAAGCAUGUGGUAAUUUGGUCUUUCAUGUACCUGCUGAGAUAAGAAAUCAUCUUUAUUGGAAAGGUAUUGACCAAAGCUAUCAAACAUGGACUUGGCAUGGAGAGGGAGCUUCUAGUAAACGAUCAUCAAAUGUAAAAGCUUCAUUUGAUGGCAGUCAACAAGAUGAUGAAGCUGGUGAUACAGUAGAAAUGGUUAAUGAUGCAUUUGACACUUGUAAUGGUGACCCUAAGGCUUUUGAAAAUCUACUUAAAGAUGCUGAAAAACCUUUGUUUCCUAGCUGUGUGAAAUUCACUAAGUUAUCUGCCUUAAUAAGGCUUUACAACAUUAAAGGAAGAAAUGGAUGGUCAGACAAAAGUUUUUCAAAUUUACUAAGUUGUUUAUCAGAUAUGCUUCCUGAUAAAAAUGAAAUACCUUUAUCCGUAUAUGAAGAAAAGAAGAUUAUAGUUGCAUUAGGCUUAGAAUAUGAAAAAAUACAUGCAUGUCCCACUUGUGGAAUGUCAAGAUGGAAGAGUCCCAAGAAAAGUAAGGGAAUUCCUGCUAAAAUCUUAUGGUAUUUUCCUCCUAUACCAAGGUUUAAGAGGAUGUUUCAAUCUCCUCGAACCGUAAAAAAACUUAACUUGGCAUGCCAAUGAAAGGGUGAUUGAUGGCAAACUACAUCACCCAGCUGACUCACUGUCAUAGAGGCUAGUGGACCAAAAAUGGCCAGAUUUCGCUGCAGAAGAAAGAAAUCUUCGACUGGCUAUUUCUGCAAAUGGGAUAAAUUCCCAUAAAAACUUACUGCAUAUUUUACAGGGAAAUGUGGUUAAAAUGAAGUCUAUGAAUUGAAGGAGUGAUAAAUAAAUAUAGUUUUUUGUCUUUUGAUGUCAAUUUAAUGAAAAAGAUACUUAUAAUGAAGAUGAGAUCAACGAAAUUCGCUCUGAUUGGACCACUUAUGUUAGUGACUUGAUUUGAAAAAAAAUACAAAAGAGACAAGUAAUGUAGGUAAAUAACAUAUGAUUCAAUUGAAGUACAUUAGUUUAUUGUUAAUAUUUUUCAUGCAUAGAUUUUUCCUUCUCUUUGUGCAUGGAUAUCUUAUGCUUUCAUUGCAUAAGGCAACUAUAUCAUCUAGUUGGAUUCAUAAUAAAAGCUCUCAGUUAAUUCAAUCAAAAUUUGUCAAUGCCUUACUGGUAACCAUGACUUACUUUUUUCGCCUCUUCCUUAAACAGUAACAGUAGUAUACGGCAGUAAUUUUAGUUUCUUGAUGUGUAGGGCUAUGCCGCGGAGUUAUAUAGAUCUCAAGACCAAGACACAUUUACAAUCAAAGAGGAUAUAAGUGUUAUAAAAUAUCAGAUCUAUUGGGUUAAUGGAAAUUUAUUUAAAAGCUUUUCCUUUUGUAUGUACAACAUUGCCAUGGAAAACUUUUGGACCGAUUGUGGAAUGCUAACUGUAGGCUCAAUGGAUAGUUUUAGAAACAACAUCUUAUUUUAGAUUUAUACUUAAGAAAUUUGAUACAUUUAUAUGUUAAUAUGAAUUCAGGUUUCCUAUGCUUUAUUAUGGUGUUUGAAGUUAGUUGAAAUUUUUUGAAU
rnacentral:lncRNA from 1 species